rnacentral:rRNA from 1 species
AAAUAUUGGCCAGAGACCGAUAGCGCACAAGUAGAGUGAUCGAAAGAUGAAAAGCACUUUGGAAAGAGAGUCAAACAGCACGUGAAAUUGUUGAAAGGGAAGCGCUUGCAGCCAGACUUGCUUGCAGUUGCUCAUCCGGGCUUUUGCCCGGUGCACUCUUCUGUAGGCAGGCCAGCAUCAGUUUGGGCGGUGGGAUAAAGGUCUCUGUCACGUACCUCUCUUCGGGGAGGCCUUAUAGGGGAGACGACAUACCACCAGCCUAGACUGAGGUCCGCGCAUCUGCUAGGAUGCUGGCGUAAUGGCUGUAAGCGGCCCGUCUUGAAACACGGACCAAGGAGUCUAACAUCUAUGCGAGUGUUUGGGUGUCAAGCCCGAGCGCGUAAUGAAAGUGAACGGAGGUGGGAACCCGCAAGGGUGCACCAUCGACCGAUCCUGAAGUUUUCGGAAGGAUUUGAGUAAGAGCAUGGCUGUUGGGACCCGAAAGAUGGUGAACUAUGCUUGAAUAGGGUGAAGCCAGAGGAAACUCUGGUGGAGGCUCGCAGCGGUUCUGACGUGCAAAUCGAUCGUCAAAUUUGGGCAUAGGGGCGAAAGACUAAUCGAACUAUCUAGUAGCUGGUUCCUGCCGAAGUUUCCCUCAGGAUAGCAGUAACGUAUUCAGUUUUAUGAGGUAAAGCGAAUGAUUAGAGGCAUGGGGGUUGAAACAACCUUCACCUAUUCUCAAACUUUAAAUAUGUAAGAAGCCCUUUGUUACUUGAUUGAACGCGGGCAUUUGAAUGAAACGUUAUUAGUGGGCCAUUUUUGGUAAGCAGAACUGGCGAUGCGGGAUGAACCGAACGAGGGGUUACGGUGCCGGAGUACACGCUCAUCAGACACCACAAAAGGUGUUGGUUCAUCUAGACAGCAGGACGGUGGCCAUGGAAGUCGGAAUCCGCUAAGGAGUGUGUAACAACUCACCUGCCGAAUGAACUAGCCCUGAAAAUGGAUGGCGCUCAAGCGUGUCACCUAUACCCCUCCGCCGGGGCAAAAUUUACGCCCCGGCGAGUAGGCAGGCGUGGAGGCUCGUGANGAAGC